rnacentral:rRNA from 1 species
AGGACGAACGCUGGCGGCGCGCCUAACACAUGCAAGUCGAGCGAGAACCAGGGCUUGCCCUGGGGACAGCGGCGAACGGGUGCGGAACACGUACGCAACCUUCCUUUAACUGGAGAAUAGCCCGGGGAAACCCGGAUUAAUACUCCGUAACAUUAUGAGAUGGCAUCAUUUUGUAAUUAUAGCUCCGGCGGUUAAAGAUGGGCGUGCGUCUGAUUAGGUAGUUGGCGGGGUAACGGCCCACCAAGCCUACGAUCAGUAACUGGUGUGAGAGCACGACCAGUCACACGGGCACUGAGACACGGGCCCGACUCCUACGGGAGGCAGCAGUAAGGAUAUUGGUCAAUGGACGCAAGUCUGAACCAGCCAUGCCGCGUGGAGGAUGAAGGUCCUCUGGAUUGUAAACUUCUUUUAUUGGGAAGAACCCCGAUUUCUAUUGGGUUGACGGUACCAGAUGAAUAAGCACCGGCUAACUCCGCGCCAGCAGCCGCGGUAA